GGGCGUCUAGCUCAGUUGGUAGAGCGCGUCAUUAGCAUUGUCUAAUAUUGACGAGGUCUUUGGUUCGAUUCCUAAGUCGUCCA
rfam:Trichosporon asahii var. asahii CBS 8904 unplaced genomic scaffold scaffold00105, whole genome shotgun sequence.